rnacentral:rRNA from 1 species
GUGGGGAAUAUUGGACAAUGGGCGAAAGCCUGAUCCAGCCAUUCCGCGUGCAGGAUGAAGGCCUUCGGGUUGUAAACUGCUUUUGUACGGAACGAAAAGCCUCUGGUUAAUACCCGGGGGUCAUGACGGUACCGUAAGAAUAAGCACCGGCUAACUACGUGCCAGCAGCCGCGGUAAUACGUAGGGUGCGAGCGUUAAUCGGAAUUACUGGGCGUAAAGCGUGCGCAGGCGGUGAUGUAAGACAGUUGUGAAAUCCCCGGGCUCAACCUGGGAACUGCAUCUGUGACUGCAUUGCUGGAGUGCGGCAGAGGGGGAUGGAAUUCCGCGUGUAGCAGUGAAAUGCGUAGAUAUGCGGAGGAACACCGAUGGCGAAGGCAAUCCCCUGGGCCUGCACUGACGCUCAUGCACGAAAGCGUGGGGAGCAAACAGGAUUAGACACCCUUGUAGUCC